AUGAUGCCCGGAUUCGCAUUGCCUUGCACCAGUCUUAAUAAAACCAAAAUCAAUACAGACGCUAAACAGCCCUGCAUUUUUUCAAUCAAACAGCUCAUCAUUUCAUCUAACACCAUACAACCAAUUCAAUUCAUAAGCCAAAAACCGACUGAAGCAAUUAGCUUAGAGUUAAUUAUCACUGUCCAUAUUUGA